AACGAACGCUGGCGGCAUGCCUAACACAUGCAAGUCGAACGAAGGCUUCGGCCUUAGUGGCGCACGGGUGCGUAACGCGUGGGAAUCUGCCCCUCGGUUCGGAAUAACAGUUAGAAAUGACUGCUAAUACCGGAUGAUGACUUCGGUCCAAAGAUUUAUCGCCGAGGGAUGAGCCCGCGUAGGAUUAGAUAGUUGGUGGGGUAAAGGCCUACCAAGCCGACGAUCCUUAGCUGGUCUGAGAGGAUGAUCAGCCACACUGGGACUGAGACACGGCCCAGACUCCUACGGGAGGCAGCAGUGGGGAAUAUUGGACAAUGGGCGCAAGCCUGAUCCAGCAAUGCCGCGUGAGUGAUGAAGGCCUUAGGGUUGUAAAGCUCUUUUACCCGGGAUGAUAAUGACAGUACCGGGAGAAUAAGCUCCGGCUAACUCCGCGCCAGCAGCCGCCGUAAUAC
rnacentral:rRNA from 1 species